GGGAAGGGUGUGGCUCUCUGCUCACAAAAGAAUUCCCACUAUGGAUGGGUGACAAAAGGCUGCCUCAAGGAGUGCCCUUACUAAACCGGAAGGCAUCUGACCUGUCAUUUUUGGGAGGGGACUGAGAGCGGCUUUCAGCCAACAGACCCUGAGUCAUCCAAGAGAAGAUGAGCUGAGUUCAUAUGCCCCAUCUCAGAGGUCUGAACCUGGGCAGGUUUUCUCAGUCUCCAAUACCGACUGGAAGAAGCUCCUGCCAGCCGCCAUGUAAGAAGGAGGACAUCAGGCUACAAUCAGGGAGAGCCUUGGAGAGCUGAGGAGAUGCCCCAACUUCUUCCUGCUCAUCAUUUUCAGUGCCUGACGUCCAUUUCCACAGAGGAAUUAGCAGGUGAGAAGCCGAGUCAGUGGGAGGCAGCGCUCUGGAACUGGAGGACCCCAUCCUCAAGGGCUAACCAUCCCAUCUUGUGGACCCCUUCAUCUGCAGACGGUGCUGCCUGGGACCUGAGGAUCCUUGGACCACCCUCUCGUUCUGGGCUCUUUCUCCAAUCAUGCUCCAGGGACGGAUGGAUCCGAUGGGGCGCGAGGCGGGGAGGAGCCCGCUCCCCAAGUCUGAGCAGGAUGCAGUGUGUCCCACACAGGGAGGAUUCGGAAGUUCAGCUCUGCUCAGGCGAAUGAAGGAUGUCUGUUCUCCGUCAUGUAUUGAAGCCACUAAUUUCCUCUCGGGACAGCCCUGUCGUGGAGUGGGGGGCCUCAGAUAUGAACGUGUAACGGAUCAGAGACGAGCAUCAUCUUCCUGUGCCAUCUUCGUAAAGAAGCUAUGGGAUAAGAACAAUCGAACAGACAUCCAACACAUCACAGAGGAUGCUUGUGAGGGAUGAGAGGGAUGGGACACGAGAGUGUAAUUGGGCACAAAGGAAAAAAUGAAAUAAAAUGAAGCUAGAGAGGGA